UUAAUAUAAUUGAUUGUGUUU
rnacentral:piRNA from 1 species